ensembl:miRNA
ACCACUCUCAGCUGGGUGUAGUGCCCUACUCCAGAGGGUGUCAUUCACAUAGACUAAAGCAUGAUUGUCACCUUUUGGAGUAGAGUAAUACACAUCAUGGACGAUAUAUGUGGUGGC